GCUGAGUGAAAACUGGAUGUACGAACUCUUUUCCGAAAGCUUCGAACGGCGCCUCCGUCGCAUUCAUCACCAUCAGCAUCGCGUACGAUGCCAUCAUCACGCGUCGCAGAGCAUCAAUGCAUCUCAGGGAAGCGUCUUCAUCUUCUUUGCAUUCGUCCUCCCCUCAUCAUCGUGCUCAUCUCGCACUUUCGGAGCGGUUACGAAUCGUCCAAAACGUGUUUCGGUUCGUGUUAUGAACGCGCAACUCAAUCUCGCGUUUCACAUUCGAAGCUCGUAGAUUCACACUUCAUCAACUUCUCGUCGUCAUCGUCAUCGCGUCUCUGAAUGUUUCGAUUUCAUCUGCACCGCAUCUUCGAUUGCUGCGUUUUAUGCUAAAAAAACUCGAAGCGAACGACGAUUCCAAUCAUCAAUCCGCAUUCCGAAAUCCGAGUCAAUGACUCAGUUUGGUUCACAAAUGUAUGCGUGCACCAACAGAAUCGGAACCGAAGCGAGAGAGUCACCGGUAUGAAGAUUGUCGAAUCGAGCUGAGGAAUCAGGGCUCCGACACGAUGGUUCUUCUAUUGCUUCACAGAAGGUGAUGCAGAAUGCUGUAGGGUCAUUUAAAAGUGAUGCGGAAAGGAAGCAGUUGCAGAAUUGAAGGAGAUGGAUGCAAAAAUGCAGAAAUUUCUAUGCCGAAAAAUGAAAAACCUUGAUGCAGAACGUAGAACUUUCUAUGCAGAAAAAUGAAGAACCUCUAUGAAGAAUGUAGAACUUUCUAUGCAGAAAAAAUGAAGAACCUCUAUGAAGAAUAUAUCAGGCACAUAUAGCCCUUGAUUAUGUUAGAAAUUUGAGUGAAAUUUAUCUGAAAUUCAGAUAUAAAUUUAGUUAGUUAGAAAUGCUAAUGAAAUGAACUUGAAAUUCACUUGAAAUGUCUAUGUGGGUUAGAAACUCAAUAAGUUCUUAAAGUGAAAUUUGGUUGAAAUGAUAAUGAAAUGCAAUUUGAUCAAAUGACAGUGAACUUGUUAGAACUGACAAAAUAGUUAGUUACAAAUAUUAUCUUGACAUGAGAACAAUUUGAGUUGGUUAGAAAGUGUGUUAACAAUUAAUUUUAUUGAAAUUCUGUUAAGGUCUUAUAUUUUUCUGAAAUUCUGUUGAGUUAGCAAUUAGGGAAAUGUUAGGUGAAGUUAGUUAAAGAAGUAAAUCAUGUUAGUUAGAUUAAAAUGUUCUGUUAAUGAAAUGUGAGUUAUUGAAAUAGUUAGGGUUUUGUGAUUUGUUCUGUACUGUUAGGUAGUGAAAAGGGACGUUACUUUAUUAAAUUUUGCAAUAUUUCUUGGAGUGCUUUGAUGUUAAUAACUCAUUCAACAAUUCUGCAGGAACAACAAAGUGGGGGAAUGCUAUACUAUACACAGCAAAAUGAAAUAUGUCGAUUCUGCUUGAAUGAUGCAGGGCGACAUUGUUUUGGUUAUGAAGGAGCUUGUCCAUGCCUUUUUAAAAAUAAUGUUGAUAGCCUCUCAUUUGUGAAAUUGUAUUUGUCGUUUGUUAAGUUAUGAAAUUUUGUCUAUGAUUUCUUAAUAUGACACAAAUAUGUUUCAACAGUUAGAAACAAACGAGGGUUUGAAGACAUAUUAUUCCAAGAUCUUUGGUUUUAAAUUUUUUUAUCAUCAAA